AGAGCGUUGCGUCCGAAAGUCGCC
rnacentral:misc_RNA from 1 species